AACACCUCAACUCUAUUUCUUCUUGAAAUGGAGCUGGACUUGAGUGAUCCCAACGCUUUUUUCAAAAGUGGCGGGUUACUUGAAAUGCAGGUGCAGCUGGACUUUUCUCUGAGCUAAAAGCAUAUCUAUUUAGUCUGCCUAAAAACAGAUUAUUACCUUUGCUGCAGCUAACAUAAAGGAGAUUAGUUCUUGUGCUGACUGAUGCAGGAUUCACAAAGACCGCUUCGGCUGUCUUUGUAA
rnacentral:misc_RNA from 1 species